GUAAAAGAUCUCUAUUUACCAUAAAGAAAAACGAGAAAAAAUUUCAAAAAUAUUCUGAAAGUUUAAAAUAAUGGAACUUCUCAUUCUCAUUGCGUUAACACAUAUGGUUCUUAUGAAUGUUUCUGUGAUUUUGAUUUCAUUAAACAGACGGGUGAUUGUAUUCCUAUAGUGACUCGUAAAGAAAAUCCUUGCCAUAAUGGUGCUUUUUGUUAUGAUAGAAGUGAUGGAUUUGAAUGGCACUGUAAACUCGACAUUGAAUUUGUUUAGAAGUUCCCGAAUGUAAAAGAUCUACCUGUGCUGAAAAUGAAAUAUGUAUUUCUACUCUUAAAGGUUUUCAGUGCUUACCUCCUAAUAAAUAAUGUUUUGCAUUGAAAAUUGUGGAUCAAUUUUCAAUGCAAAACCUUGCAUUGAAAAUUGCAAGGUUAUAUUCGUUUAAACUUUUUCAAAACUUUAAAAAAUAAAAAUAGU